rnacentral:misc_RNA from 1 species
CAAUUGUUGAUUCAUAUCACAAUAUCAGUUGAAAUAAUAGAAGCAUUGGUUAUGCAGAUUAGAAGCAAACCUGGAAAGUUUUGGAUGGUUGAGUGCUGGGGAUUAAUUUUGUGUAAGAGAAGAAAAGCAAGCAAAUGAUCUCUGAGAACUCUAUGUUAACUUGAAUAGUGGGUACAAAUUUUUUCAAUUUACAAAUGUGUACAAAAUUCCAAAUACUCUGCAGUCCAUCUUGAAAAGCCAUUCUCCACCCAAAUUGCUAGAGUUACAAAUUUCCCACCAAGAACAUCAAUAUGCACAAAUCAAGUCCAAUGGUAUUGAUCUAUUGAUUUAUCUAACAAAAAACUGAAAAAAAAGGGUUCAUCAACAUCAGAGAAUUUUCUUCUUGUUUAGCCAUUAUGGUGAAAACCAGGUUGUGCAGCCUGUGUUGCAACUCUUAGCGUGCCUCCAAGCUCAACAGGAAUGAGUGGAACCAAGGAGUGUACAACAUCUAUUAUGAGUGGACGAUACGUUGGCUCUGGUUGCACACAGAGCACUGCCACCGCAGCAACCUGCACACAAAGAUUAAGCAAAACCCAAUUCCCACAUCAAUUAUUUAUUACCUAAGCAAGGUCUAACCAAACAAGCAAAUCUUCUUCUCUGAACACAACCACUCCUCUCCGAACUUUCCAAAAGUGUAGCAUACAUUAAUUAUAACCUUUAGUGCAAACCUCAACCACCACAAGCCAAAAAGAAUUUAUUGUUAAAAAAAAAAAAGAAUAAAUUCUAAGUUCAUUUAUUAACAAUGACUUGUAGUUAAGUUGAAAAACCUGGAAUAAGUACUUCUCAUCCACAGUAUCUUUUAUCACAGGAUCCACGAUGUUUGGAAGUGAAGCUCUGCUAGUGAGCUGAGGCAAGGCCUGCAAUUGAAAUAAGCUGAAGUAUUAAAUACUGGAUCACCCCAAGUUACAAAGAGGGGCUCAUACUGGAUCAGAAGACAUACCCAUGUUACAAUAGAUUGGCAAUGAGCUGGUGCCAGUUUUUCCACAGGCCGCCUUCCUAAUAGAAGUUCCAAAAGGACAACUCCAAAAGCAUAGACAUCACUCUUCUCUGUUAGCUCACCUAAAUUAUUUGAUAAAAAGAAUGAUAUUUCACCCCAAAUAAAGAGUAAUAUCAAUUUGGAAAAUCCAGCAAUUUUUAGAUAUUCAAGUAGAAGGUGGAAAAAAGCUAACAAGUUUUAGUUGAGUGAUAAUGAAGCUAGAGACGAUAUUAAAAAUGUAAGGUCUCGAGUUUGAGUAUCAAUUGAAAGAGGAGAGUUCUGGGCAUAUAUAUGGUUGUUAGGAUUAAAGAAAAGAAAAUGAUAAGUGCAGAUGCUAGGCAAUGGCAGUACAUGUGGACUGAAGACAGCUUGGUCUCGGAGAAUGCCAAUUAUAUAAUUAUCAAUGUCAUCAGAUCCUAAUAAAAUAUUGCACAAGUCAUCAAAUUAUGUUGCAUCUAGUUCGGUAAGGGAAAUAUUUUCUCUAUGAUAGUUAAGUACUAAAAUAUUAAUACAACUAUCUAACCAAAUGAGAAUUAUCAAUGAAAUGCUUCACCUAAAGUCAGAAUUAACCAAAUAACAAAGUUUAGUUAGCAAUAGCAUACCAUCCAACAUAUACUCUGGGGCUACAUAACCCACAGUGCCUGAAAGCUUGAGCUUGUUCCUAUUCUGGGAGCUAUCAGCUACAGCAAGACCAAAAUCCGAUAGCUGAAACAAGACAAUAGAUAGAGAGGAGGAGGAGGGCAGUGAACUUGAUAAAACAAUAAUAAUAAAUAGUGGCAAUAGUUGAAUGGCAAGUGUAUUUUAGAUAGAUAGCAUAGAAGAGAUGAUAAUUCUGUACUCUUUUUACCUUGGCAUUGAAGUUAGAAUCCAAAAGUAUAUUAGAUGAUUUCAGAUCUCUAUGGAUCACUACUGGCUUGCAGAACUCAUGCAUAUAUUCUAAUCCUCUUGCUAUAUCAAGAGCAAUUUUCAAUCGCAUGUGCCAACUUAAUGAAGAUCCACGAGAAGCUCCUAUAACCUUUUUCAGCUCUUCAACUCUAUAUUCAAGCUUUGAUUAUUUCUGAGACAAAGCAGCAGCGCAUAGAUAUAGCUGAUGAACAAAGGAAUACAUGGCGUUGCCUUUCUGGGGCGCUGUUGAUCGCAGAUGCAGCCAUGGAAAAUGACACUGAAACAAGAUUGAAAACUCUUUCUUGACUAAACCUAGUUCUUCCAAAGGCAAGAGUAGAAGAGGUAUAUUAAAAUAAAAAGCAAGAAAGUUGAUUUUUGUAAACGCAAAUUAAAUAACUUUAGUGUUACACUAAAACUGCUCGUUUGCUGUUAUAAGAGUAAAUUACAAAAUAAAUAAUGUAAAUGGAGAGGGGAACUGUGACAAAACAUAGCAAGUGCGAGUAAUUUCAAACCCAGCAUGGUUUUAGGAGCUUAAUGGGAAUGAAAGGAUUAGUUACCUUUCAAUCCAAAGGUGUUAAAAUAUUGGAAAACAAGCUUACCUUGCUGUUUAAAGAGCAAUUUU